GACGAACGCUGGCGGCGUGCUUAACGCAUGCAAGUGGAGCGACGAACCAGGGCUUGCCCUGGGGCAGAGCCGCGAACGGGUGAGUAACACGUGGGUAACCUGCCCAGAUGACCGGGACAACCCGAGGAAACUCGGGCUAAUACCGGAUGUGCUGUCCCCACAUCAGUGGGGUUAGGAAAGGUAGCUUCGGCUUCCGCAUCUGGAUGGGCCCGCGGCCCAUUAGCUUGUUGGUGGGGUAACGGCUCACCAAGGCUUCGAUGGGUAGCUGGUCUGAGAGGACGAUCAGCCACACUGGGACUGAGACACGGCCCAGACUCCUACGGGAGGCAGCAGUGGGGAAUCUUGCGCAAUGCGCGAAAGCGUGACGCAGCAGCGCCGCGUGCGGGAAGACGGCCUUCGGGUUGUAAACCGCUUUCAGUUGGGACGAAGCCUUUGCGGUUAAUAGCCGUGGAAGGUGACGGUACCUUCAGAAGAAGCCCCGGCUAACUACGUGCCAGCCGCCGCCGUAA
rnacentral:rRNA from 1 species